GAGUUUGAUCCUGGCUCAGAACGAACGCUGGCGGCGUGCUUAACACAUGCAAGUCGAACGCGAACGAGUUCUUCGGAACUUUAGUAGAGUGGCGCACGGGUGAGUAACGCGUAAGUAAUCUACCCUCGCAUUUGGGAUAACCCACCGAAAGGUGAGCUAAUACCGGAUACGUCUGAAAUAAUAUCUUUUUUUCAGAGAAAGAUGGCCUCUUCAUGAAAGCUAUUGUGCGGGGAGGAGCUUGCGUACCAUUAGCUAGUUGGUAGGGUAAUGGCCUACCAAGGCAACGAUGGUUAGCGGGUCUGAGAGGAUGAUCCGCCACACUGGAACUGGAACACGGACCAGACUCCUACGGGAGGCAGCAGUGAGGAAUAUUGCGCAAUGGGGGCAACCCUGACGCAGCGACGCCGCGUGGAUGAUGAAGGCCUUCGGGUUGUAAAAUCCUGUCAGAUGGGAAGAAGUGCUAUAGUCUUAAUACGAUUAUAGUUUGACGGUACCAUCAAAGGAAGCACCGGCUAACUCCGUGCCAGCAGCCGCGGUAAUACGGAGGGUGCAAGCGUUGUUCGGAAUUACUGGGCGUAAAGCGCGCGUAGGCGGCUUUUUAAGUCAGGUGUGAAAGUCCAUGGCUCAACCAUGGAAGUGCAUUUGAAACUGGAAGGCUUGAGUAUUGGAGGGGGUGGUGGAAUUCCCGGUGUAGAGGUGAAAUUCGUAGAUAUCGGGAGGAAUACCGGUGGCGAAGGCGACCACCUGGCCAAAUACUGACGCUGANGUGCGAAAGCGUG
rnacentral:rRNA from 1 species